GACGAACGCUGGCGGCGUGCCUAAUACAUGCAAGUCGAACGCUUCUUUCCUCCCGAGUGCUUGCACUCAAUUGGAAAGAGGAGUGGCGGACGGGUGAGUAACACGUGGGUAACCUACCCAUCAGAGGGGGAUGACACUUGGAAACAGGUGCUAAUACCGCAUAACAGUUUAUGCCGCAUGGCAUAAGAGUGAAAGGCGCUUUCGGGUGUCGCUGAUGGAUGGACCCGCGGUGCAUUAGCUAGUUGGUGAGGUAACGGCUCACCAAGGCCACGAUGCAUAGCCGACCUGAGAGGGUGAUCGGCCACACUGGGACUGAGACACGGCCCAGACUCCUACGGGAGGCAGCAGUAGGGAAUCUUCGGCAAUGGACGAAAGUCUGACCGAGCAACGCCGCGUGAGUGAAGAAGGUUUUCGGAUCGUAAAACUCUGUUGUUAGAGAAGAACAAGGACGUUAGUAACUGAACGUCCCCUGACGGUAUCUAACCAGAAAGCCACGGCUAACUACGUG
rnacentral:rRNA from 1 species